GCUUUACUGCAGAAUUCCGAGGCUUGCAGCCAGCAGCGUCGCGAGUCUCUAGGCUGAAAUUUUAUAUAAAUGGACGCACAAGGUGGAGCACCUGCUUAACAACCUAUAAGAACAUGCACAUCUGUGCGCGCCAUCCCACUGCCUGCAUCUGCGGUGCAGGCCUAAUGACUGUGAUUGGAGGAGAAAGAAGACACUCCCCUGGGUGAAUGGACGAGAGCUGAGACUCAGCACAACGUGCCUGGAUUAAGAGGACUCUCAUGUUGCUGGGCAUGUUAAAUAAUGACCAUUGUUUCUGUUAACACAAGCAUUAAAAAUAAAAAUAAAGAGAAAACGAAAGGA